rnacentral:rRNA from 1 species
AACUAACGCUGGCGGCGUGCCUAACACAUGCAAGUCGUACGAGAAAGUUGGCUUCGGCCGAUGAGUAAAGUGGCGCACGGGUGAGUAAUGCGUGGAUAAUCUGCCCUUUAGUUGGGAAUAACGUACCGAAAGGUGCGCUAAUACCUGAUAAUACUGCAUAACUACUGUUGUGUAGUCAAAGAAGGCCUCUGUUUACAAGCUUUUGCUGAAGGAUGAGUCCGCGUACCAUUAGCUGGUUGGUGGGGUAAUGGCCUACCAAGGCUACGAUGGUUAGCUGGUCUGAGAGGGUAAUCGGCCACAUUGGAACUGAGACACGGUCCAAACUCCUACGGGAGGCAGCAGUGGGGAAUAUUGCACAAUGGGCGCAAGCCUGAUGCAGCAACGCCGCGUGAGCGAAGAAGGUCUUCGGAUCGUAAAGCUCUGUCCUUGGGGAAGAAACAAAUGACGGUACCCAGGGAGGAAGCCCCGGCUAACUACGUGCCAGCAGCCGCGGUAAAACGU